rnacentral:rRNA from 1 species
AUUGAACGCUGGCGGCAUGCCUUACACAUGCAAGUCGAACGGUAACGGGCCUUCGGGUGCCGACGAGUGGCGAACGGGUGAGUAAUACAUCGGAACGUGCCCGAUCGUGGGGGAUAACGAGGCGAAAGCUUUGCUAAUACCGCAUACGAUCUACGGAUGAAAGCAGGGGACCGCAAGGCCUUGCGCGGACGGAGCGGCCGAUGGCAGAUUAGGUAGGUGGUGGGAUAAAAGCUUACCAAGCCGACGAUCUGUAGCUGGGCUGAGAGGAUGAUCAGCCACACUGGGACUGAGACACGGCCCAGACUCCUACGGGAGGCAGCAGUGGGGAAUUUUGGACAAUGGGCGCAAGCCUGAUCCAGCCAUGCCGCGUGCAGGAUGAAGGCCUUCGGGUUGUAAACUGCUUUUGUACGGAACGAAAAGCCUUCUUUUAAUACAGGAGGGUCAUGACGGUGCCGUAAGAAUAAGCACCGGCUAACUACGUG